rnacentral:lncRNA from 1 species
AGACUCUUCAUCGAUCAUUCAGUUGUCUGCUGCUGGUGGGAUGUGCGGCGGGUUAGGCUUUGGUUUGGGCUCCGGCUUGGGUUCAGGCUUUGGUUUUGGUUCAGGCUUAGGCUCCGGUUUGGGUUCUGGUUUCGGCUUGGGCUCGGGCUUUGGUUCAGGUUUAGGCUUAGGCUCAGGCUUAGGUAGUGGUUCGGGUUUUGGUUCCGGCUUCGGCUCAGGCUUAGGCUCGGGUUUUGGUUUGGGCUCGGGCUUAGGCUCUGGUUUGGGUAGUGGUUCUGGUUUUGGUUCUGGCUUGGGCUCGGGCUUAGGCUCUGGUUUGGGCAGUGGCUCUGGCUUUGGCUCUGGUUUUGGCAAUGGUUUGGGCUUUGGUUCCGGCUUGGGCUCAGGCUUAGGCUCUGGUUUUGGUAGUGGUUCAGGUUUUGGUUCCGGCUUGGGUUCAGGCUUAGGCUCGGGCUUUGGUUCCGGCUUGGGCUCAUGCUUAGGUUGCAGUGGUUCGGGUAUGGGUUCUGUGCUUGGGUUCAGGCUUAGUGCUCGGUGCUUUGGGUAUCGUGCUUGGGCUCAGGCUUAGGCUCCGGUAUCGGCAUCGGUUCGGGCUUUGGUUCUGGCUAGGGCUCAGGCUUAGGCUCAGGUUUUGGUUUUGGCAUGGGCUCAGGUUUUGGUUCAGGCUUAGGCUCCGGCUUAGGCUCAGGCUUAGGUUUUGGUUCUGGCUUGGGCUCCGGUUUUGGCAGUGGUUCAGGCUUGGGCUCAGGCUCGGGUUUUGGUUCAGGCUUAGGCUCAGGUUUUGGCUUUGGCUCAGGCUUUUUUGGCUUUGGCUUUGGUUCAGGCAUAGGCUUGGGCAUCGGUUCGGGUUUGGGCUUUGGCUCUGGCUUCGUUAUGGGUUUAGGUUGAGGCUCAGGUUUAGGUUCAGGUUUCGGCGAAGGCUCUGGAUGAGGCUCAGUUUUUGGCUCUGGACGUGGCUUGGGCUCUGGUUUAGGUUCAGGUUUGGGCUCUGGCUGUGGCAGGGGCUGCGGCUGAGGCUGGGGUUCCGGUUUGGGUUGUGGCUCCGGCUGCGGCAGCUCGGCGGCAGCACGUCCAUGCUUGCGCGCGAAGCGGCCGCCAUGGCCAAGCCCGACGCCGGCAGCCGCCGCUUCGUCGACGAAGAAGGCGGUGGCAGUGGCCGCCACGGCUCCCAGAAGCACGGCGAGGAGAAGGCAGCAUGAAGAGAGGCGACGCGUCGCCGCCAUGGCUGCUUCGCUGCUCCUGCAACAAGCAAGCUCGCCUGCUAGCUAGCUCUCUGCUGCUCUGUGUUGCUCUCUCUGUUUCUCUUUCUGGAGCAGCUGUUGGUAGUGCCUGAGUGCAGUCUCUGUUGUGUGUCUGUGGUGUGGAUGACGGGGUGUGGUCAUGGGUCGGAUUUAUAGCGCGCGAGAGCCAACCAAGUUUUGACGCGUGGAUGGGCUGUCUGCCCAGCUAAUAACACGUUUGCCCUCCGCCGUAUCAACGGGUAGGUAACAGGUAAGCCCCGUGUUAAUGUUAUUCAACGGAUAGCAGUAGCACGUAACUUUCAGUACUUUUAAUUUUUUUUUUAGGAAAAACUUUCACUUUUACUUUCUCAUGGAUUCUUCCAUCCAUUUCUUGUUCCAACAUACUCUCUAGUCUCUCUAUACACGCUGCUGCCUGCCAUGCGAGUCACCGCGCGCAUAUCACACACCCGACGACGUGUACGUUUGCUGCUAACUUUUUUGAUGAUACACGGGACGACAGGUAGGUAUUUGUUAGCUUGUGGUUGACGACGCAAACUGCCGCGCGCGCGCUGUUGACCAGCGAGCCAGCUAUGUAUACUGUAUGUGUGAAGAUUCAUCCCCAGGACAGUGAACAUCUUGCUUUGAGAGGUAGCAAAGAUAUUUUUAUGGUGUGUGGACGAUGGAUGCAUGACAAAGAGCUAGCUAGCCAUCGUCAUGCAUCUUCACCUGUCGCGCGCUGCUGCACAAGCACAUGCAUGGUCCUGGAACUCUCAGAUCAUCAUCCUAUAGUACUACGGCGAGCUGAUUGGUGUGCCAUGCAUGUCUACCGGUGGACAUCAUGUAUGGCCUUGUUUAGUUCCAAAAAUUUUUGCAAAAUAGGAAUAGUAUCACUUUCGUUUGUAUUUGACAAAUAUUAUUCAAUCAUGUACUAACUAGACUCAAAAGAUUCGUCUCGUCAAUUUCGACCAAACUGUGCAAUUAGUUUUUAUUUUCGUCUAUAUUUAAUACUUCAUGCAUGCGUCUAAAGAUUUGAUGUGAUGAAGAAUCUAAAAAAUUUUGCAAAAUUUUUUGCAACUAAACAAGACCUAUGCAUGGAAGCGGGGCACUGCAUCAGCUCGUGAAGCUCAUCGCCAAAGGGAGAGGACACACAGGACCGGCACUGUGAGACACAUGAUUGGCGAUGCAUGGUUACAUUGCAGGCCACUGCAGGACAUCAGAUUGUGUAGUGAGUGAGAGUAUGAGAGUGACGCUACGCACGCCGUACGUAUACACGUCGUAGAACUUUGGAUUUCCUGCGUGACCGACACGGCAGUUGUCGACAUCGUGCUUUUGCCUGCAGGUCCAAGGUGAUGGUAAACCAGUCAAUCAGACCUGUAAGUAAAUAAUAGUAUCCUACAGACCUUUAACUUGUUGAAUUACGCAUAGCUUGCGUCGGUGCGUGGUUGAAAAACCAUCCCAAAAGUUCAUCUAGCUAGAAAAUUCACAGUUUUAUCACUAUAGCUAGGUUAAAAGGGACACGUACAUACGUCGCUGCCCUAUAGGCUGGGCAGUGUUGUGUGUGGCUGUGCAAUAAGCACAGUCGUGGAUGAACGGAUGAUGCACAGUGUGGUGGCGACCCGACCGUGUUGAGGCUCAGGCGUCAGGCUCACAGUCAGCAGCUAGCGAACGCGCCGUGGCGGGGUCAGGGUCGGAGGCGUACGGUACGGCUUGCCGGAGCGGUGCACUCGUCCCUUGUUCCAACGGCGAUGUCCUUUUCUGCUUGGAUGUUUUCGCCAUCCUCUCCUGCCACCGACCCGACAUUGAUGACACUGACGUCCCAACCACUGCAAGCGGGCUGUGUGCCUGUGUAGCUACUGCUAAUUAACAUAUGCAUCCACAACGCUCUCAGUACCAAUCUCGUACCAAGCUAUCCCGUCUCUUCAUUAAGAGACACUGUUGUGCAUUAAUUUGCUCCUAGGUCGUCGUUGUUCCUCAAUACUGCGCAUUUUUUGUUUUUCAAAUAUAAAACGACGCACGCUUCUACACUUGUAUACUACACCGGAGUGGCUGAAAUUAUAUAUAUGUUAUUAUCCAUGUGUCCUCUUAGUUAUACUCAUGCAUGUCACUCUACAAAAAAUGAUAUAUACACCAAAUCAAAGGAAUCGCAAAAGGCUGUUAGAUAGUCAGGGCAUGCCAUGUCUUAGCUAAAAUAUAGCUAGCUAAUUGUUACAGCUAACUUUAGCUGGUAGUGUGUUGGGAUACACCAGCUAUUUCAAAACAAUGGACCAUGCUACCCCUCAUUAACCCUAGUCGUCUUUCAUUUCUCUCUAGCUAUUUUCUCUCUCCUAUCUUGGCAACGGCAGUACCCCUCCCGGCCUCCUCAAUAGAUGGCGAGAUCCUCGCCCCUUCCCUCAUCCUGGUGGCUACUCCGGCGCAUCUUCCUCCCAUAGUGGUCGGGGCGGUUCUUCCCCACCUAAUGGUGGCGCACGGGCAGCCCGAGCAGCACAUCCGGAGCACCAGACAUGUAGAUAUGGCAGCGGUGGAGCACCCUUAAUUCCAUCGGUGACGACGGCGUCCCCGUUCCCCUCCAUACACCAGCUACAACACAUCCCGGCGCUCCCUCUCUCCUUCACCCACGAUGGCUAGUGCGGCAGCAUGCGGUGACGCCUCACUCCCGCAACAUCGCCUCCUCCCACACCUGACGGUAGUUGUGGUCGUCCUCUCCUACCCUGACAGCGAUGGUGGUGGCCCCCUCCACCCCCAUAGUGACUGCAGCGGCUCCCCUCCACACUGGCGGUGGUGGAUCUACUGUACCCUUGACGUCCUACGGUAGAUCCGAUGGCACCUUCCCCCGCUGGUGGCGCCUAUCUCUAUGGUGGGGCCGCCCUCCCUGCGAUGGCGCACGAGAAGCCCUGGUGGCGGAUCCAGUAUCCACAGUGCACAGAUCCAGACACGCAGAAGGGAAGAAGCGGGUGCAGUGCUGGCCCUAUGGGAGGGGCAGCAGGUGCGCAGGCCAUGGGCCCUAGCGACUUGGGGGUCUAACCCUAGGUAUGUAUAUUCUAGUAUACGUAUAGGUUAAGGGCUAAGUCAUUGGUUUUUGUUCCAGGAGGCAGCGCAGGACGAAGCCACACGAGCCGAUCAGCCGAGCGGCCGCCGCCAACACACGCCAACACCUGUCGCUGCGUUUAGGGGCUUUAGGCAAUUACCAAUCAGGUUCUUAUUAUUUGAUUAAUUAAUUUAGUUUUGUAUUUUCUAUUAUAAGAUCGUGCCAAAUUGUGUAGGUUCUAGGUUUUUUUUUCUCUUGUUCAAUUUUUGUCUAUGUGCACUAUCGAAAGAGAUAUCUUAGACACGAUUGAUCUCAAUACCAUCCUUGAUGAUUUUGCAUCAAGAAAUGCCCGAAAAAGUAUAUUUAUAUAAAAAGCAAUGAGUAUGAUGGAGUUCUGUUCUUUUUUAAGGUAAUCAUAUUAGUUCUAUAAGUACAAAUAUAUUAUUUUUUAAUCUACAUUGUUUCUCGAUCUUGAUAAUUAUCAAACAUGUUUAAUUUUAAAUAUAUUAUUGCAUUUAGUUUUCCUUUAUAAGUAAAAUUAGCCUAUAUAUUAUAGAGGAAAAAGUCUAAAUUACUCCUCUCAAGUUUGUCCUACGUUCAGAUUACCCCCUAAACUUACAUUUGAUUCAGUUUUCUUCCUCCAACCAUUUUAAUUGGUCUAGUUUACCCCUUAACAUGAUUUGUUAUUUGUGUUUUUCCACAUAUAAGUUGAGUUUUAAUAUCAAGUUUUGUGAUAUAUUGGAGAACAUUAUAAGUUAUGUUAGAAAAAAUAUAUCUUAACUUUUUACCAAAUUUUUGAUAGCUUAGGAAAUUUAAAAAUAAAUUAACAGUAGAGAUACAAUAUCAUAAAAAAUAUAAUGACGAAAAAAUUAUAUUGGAUUUUUCUAACACAAAAUUCAAAGUCCUCUAUCACCUCACAAAAUUUGAAACUAAAAUAUAAUUUGUGCAUAGAGAAACAAAAAAGAAAAAACUUUUUAAGGUAUUAGUUGGACCAACUUAAAUAAUUGGAGGGAGUAAAUAGAACCAGAUGUUAGUUUAGAGAGUUAUUUGGACUUUUUUCUAUUAUAGACUAGAGAACCCGUCGCGACGAACUCCGUCCCUCAAAAUCCUAGGGCCGGCGCUGAGCGGGUGGUGCGGACGUUGAUGCAGAAAUAAAUUGGUAAUUAUCUAGUUUUAUAGCUACCAUUAGUUGGGUUGGAACAACUAAUGAGAUUAGUUGAUCCCCAUUAGUUGGGAGGCCUUUAGCUAAGUUUUGUCAUGACCUAUUUAGAUUCAUCAUAGCUAAAUUGGGGUGCUAAAUUUUAGUCCGAUAUCCACCAUGGCCACGGGCCGGGGAUGGUCCCGUCGAUCGUCACGUGAAGCAGUUACGUAUGCCUUAAUAACAUGUAUAUACGCGUGUGCAGUUUAGUCAAGGCUAUACUUUCUUUUCGUGUCAAAAUUAAUUAUAUGUCGGCUUCUGUCUUUCAAUGCCUUGAUAACAAGAAACUGUUUCCAAGAUUCACCGAGUAUGUAACACCUCUCUAGCUGCUUGAAUGGCCACGGUUGUCCCGUUGUUGGCAACCUUUGCUAUCCGACGCAUAUCUAUAGAAAUUGAAGGGUUAUCAUUGUCGGCUCUUAUCUUUCACCACACAAGCGUCUGCAUGCAAUAUAGUAUUGUGUCACCAAUUUCUUUGCCUUGCAUUGGUCUUCUCCAUCACAGAUAUGGAUAUCAUCAGGACCAUUUCCUUGUGGACUUGCGGUGCCCGGCCGUGCUGUGCCACACUACUAUGCGUCCGGCAUGCAUUAUUGCAUUGCUAGCUAGCGCUGCUCCAGUAGAACGAUGGCGUUGCUGAUUAUAUUCCCAUGGAGAUGUAGUUGAUGGGGCGGCAAAUAAUCUGGAUCCACCACUACUACAGUCAGGUACAACAGGGGCGGCUAAAUAAGCUCUGUAAGAGCGGCUGGCCCAGCCGCUCUUAUGCAAACGCUCUUACAGUGGAAUUCACUGUAAGGGCGGUUCAACACCAGCCGCUCUUACAGUGGCCCACUGUAAGGGUGGUUGGAAACAACAACCGCCCUUACUAGUGACCACUGUAAGAGCGGCUGGUGCUUCCAGCCGCCCUUAUAGUGAGCAUUAGUAAGGGCGGCUUGUGUCUCAGCCGCCUCUAUUGUCUGCAUUUGCAACGGCGGCUCAAUCUAGAACCGUCCCUACAGUUAUUUUUCAGAAAAAAAUAAAAAUUACAAUAAUCGAGUUGACAGCACAGCACAACACCACAUACAUAUAUACAUAUAUAAUCAGAUUCUCAACAUCACAUAUUCACAACAUAAAUAUCCAUACAUAUACAAAGCACCACAUUUAUAGUCCAACACAUUUCAAGUCCAAAAUGUUUCCAAGUCCAUUACAAAUCCAUCCAAAAGAGUCCGAAAUUUUUCAAGUACUAAUACAAAUCGAUCACAGUCCAUUCCAACAAGUUCAUAUGUAAUCAAGAGCCUAUCCCACUGACGGAGGUGCUAGUAAAGAGGAUUGCUACCUAAGUUGGACUGUGGGUUAUGGUAAUCACCUUUGUAAUAAACAACAUGGUCCAUUAUAAAGUUGCAAAGGUCACCGACAAUCUCUAAGAGGUCAUCAUCCCUAUAGACAUCCCUUUUUAGUCCUUUUUCUUCUUUCCACUACAAGAUCGUAAAAGACAAGUUUAGGUCUAGUGUAAAGAAGAGAUUGCAAAGCUAAGUGACAAAUACUAUAUUUUCAUACUACAACCCACUAAGAGAUUCAAACUUACCAAUUCAGGGUGUCUCCUGUAGCCUUUUGUGUUACUGAUGAAAGCACAUACAUAGUAUCCACAAUGCAGACUUCCUGGCCUUUGCUUGGGAAACUUUGUUUCAAUUUGCAAAUGGAGAUGUGUCAAGUAUAAGUACUGAAAAAAUUAGUAAUUUUAUGCCAAACUAAGUCGCACUUACCGAACAUAGAGAUUUGAAACGCAAGUGGCUCCCCAAACCUGGAUCAUGCCUUCGUUUGUGAUUCUUGACAUAGGCCCUGAAUGCCCUGUUUGAAUGAGAAUCGAUGUGACUUAUAGUAUGCAGAAGUCGAUAUUAAAGUGAAUCAUAUAAGGUUACUAGGAUUAUAAAUUUGCUUACGUAAUGAGAAUUGACAUGAAGUCUUUAUAUGUGUGAGGGUCAAAAUCUGCAGAAUCACAAAUCCAUGCCAUGUUCAUCCCGACAUCGACACCUAUGACUAUCCAGUGAUUGCUACAACAAUUUUAAAUAAACACAUAAGUACCUUUGCAUCAAAAUAAGAUAAACCGAACAAUCGUUAAGUAUACAAUUAAUCGAACUUACUUGAAGUGGUAUGGAAUCCAUAUUGUUUCGAAGUGUUGGAGAUUCUUUAAACAUACGGCAAUCCACGCCGCAACCUUAAGAGACUCUUCUCUUAUUUUGGCCGCACGGAUCUUUUCUUUCUCCGCCAACGUCCCUCCAGCAGCUAGCUGUGGCGCAUCCAAGUCCCAUCUCGAUGGGUAAUUAAAAUUUAUUUGUGCUAUAGGCAUAGGGUCUACAUACCAGGCUUUCGUUGAGCGUGUAGAUUUCAUAAAGUUUGCUUGCAUUCUAAAAAUCAUGACGGAAGUUAGUUUUAGCAAAAUCAAACUAGGUUACUUUCAGAUCAUAUCAAGAGGAAGAGGACUUACAGGCACCAAGUGCGAAUCAGAUUCAUCGACAUUGAACUAAGGUGAAAGCAUGAUUGGAUGUCGCUGAAGUCAAAGGCAAUACCCGAAGCAGGGCGUCCAAAUAUGCGAGCAGGUAUUACUGCUUCCAACACAUUCAGUUCUGUACGUGAAACAUGCAAGUAGUACCAAUCAUGGAUCCUUCUCAUUCCAUAUGGCAUCUUACACAAGAUCCGGUUUGGUAGGAAACGUUUGCCUUUUACAUAUUCUUUCGGGCAAUCCUUUGACCACUUGAUGGUUUCAACAUCUGGAUACUUUGUUAUCGUUGUGUAGUCUGAGGUGUCAGUGGGCAUCCUGUAGGCAAAUUUGUUCGGGCCUUGGUUCUCAGGCUUGAACUGGUCAUGAGCAUACCACUUGUACAUACCCGAGAUGUUCAUAUCCACAAAAGAUUUUGACCCUGUCAACCUUAUCAUGAUGGGGAUCUUUUCACGAGCUUCACAUACUAGAGGGAGUAGUUCUUCAUGUGUCGGCGGUGCUUGUUGAAAAGUCUGUGCCAUCUCAUCAUGGCCUUGCUCGGGGCGAGCUGGAUAAGGUUGUGGCUUAGGAGGCACAUGUGGUGUCUCGUCAUGCUCUGACUCGGCACGAGCUGUAGAAGGUUUUGGGCUAUGA